rnacentral:rRNA from 1 species
ACAUCCAGAGAAUUUAGCAGAGAUGCUUUAGUGCCUUCGGGAACUCUGAGACAGGUGCUGCAUGGCUGUCGUCAGCUCGUGUUGUGAAAUGUUGGGUUAAGUCCCGNAACGAGCGCAACCCUUAUCCUUUGUUGCCAGCACGUAAUGGUGGGAACUCAAAGGAGACUGCCGGUGAUAAACCGGAGGAAGGUGGGGAUGACGUCAAGUCAUCAUGGCCCUUACGAGUAGGGCUACACACGUGCUACAAUGGCGCAUACAAAGAGAAGCGACCUCGCGAGAGCAAGCGGACCUCAUAAAGUGCGUCGUAGUCCGGAUUGGAGUCUGCAACUCGACUCCAUGAAGUCGGAAUCGCUAGUAAUCGUAAAUCAGAAUGUUACGGUGAAUACGUUCCCGGGCCUUGUACGCACCGCCCGUCACACCAUGGGAGCGGGUUGCAAAAGAAGUAGAUAGCUUAACCUUCGGGAGGGCGUUUACCACUUUGUGAUUCAUGACUGGGGUGAAGUCGUAACAAGGUAGGCGUAGUGCU